AGCCCUGGGCUCAACCUAGGAAUCGCAUUUGAAACUGACAAGCUAGAGUACUGUAGAGGGGGGUAGAAUUUCAGGUGUAGCGGUGAAAUGCGUAGAGAUCUGAAGGAAUACCGGUGGCGAAGGCGGCCCCCUGGACAGAUACUGACACUCAGAUGCGAAAGCGUGGGGAGCAAACAGGAUUAGAUACCCUGGUAGUCCACGCCGUAAACGAUGUCUACUUGGAGGUUGUGCCCUAGAGGCGUGGCUUUCGGAGCUAACGCGUUAAGUAGACCGCCUGGGGAGUACGGUCGCAAGAUUAAAACUCAAAUGAAUUGACGGGGGCCCGCACAAGCGGUGGAGCAUGUGGUUUAAUUCGAUGCAACGCGAAGAACCUUACCUACUCUUGACAUCCAGAGAAUCUAGCGGAGACGCUGGAGUGCCUUCGGGA
rnacentral:rRNA from 1 species